rnacentral:misc_RNA from 1 species
UUUUUUUUAUUGUCAUCCUCGCAAUUUUCACCCAAAAUCACACGGUCCAAUUGGAUCCCCAAUUUCGGAUUGCGAUGCUUCUUAUAAAUACAAACAAUUUCUACCAUGCUUUCUCCCUCGUUUUCUCCAAACACAAAUUUCCUCUAUCUGCAGCCUCUCCUCCACCACCCAAAUCAUCAUUUUCUCAGGCCUCUGAUUCAAUUACAAAGAACAAAUUGAAGUUACCUUUGGUUUCUUUGACCAAAUCUUUGCCAAAUACACAAUUUGAUCUUAUUCAGAGCGAGAAAAUGGUGAAUUUCAUGAUGGAUAAGUAUAUUGUUCCCAGUUUUGUUGUUUCUCUAUUGGGGUUCCUUCUUCUUUAUGUUUUGCGACCAAGAACCCCCAAUUAUAAGAAAAUGGAUCUUAAAUCUACCCGAAAAUGUGAAACCCACAACGUAAUUUCUAGAAAAUUGGAGAAAGGGACCGAUGCCGAUGUUAUAAUUGUUGGAGCUGGGGUUGCUGGUGCUGCUCUUGCUCAUACCCUUGCUAAGGAAGGACGAAAUGUUCACGUCAUCGAAAGGGAUUUGACAGAGCCGGACCGGAUUGUUGGCGAAUUGCUUCAGCCUGGGGGUUAUCUUAAAUUGAUUGAGUUGGGCAUUGAAGAUUGUGUUGAGGAUAUUGAUGCCCAGCGGGUGGUUGGAUAUGCUCUUUUCAAGGAUGGAAAGAGCACAAAUGUUUCCUAUCCCUUGAAAAACUUCCAUUCGGAUGUGGCUGGGAGAAGCUUUCACAAUGGGCGCUUCAUACAGAAGAUGAGAGAAAAAGCAGCUACUCUUCCCAAUGUACGAUUGGAACAAGGCACCGUAACAUCCCUGAUUGAAGAAAAUGGAUCCAUUAAGGGUGUUCAGUACAAAACUAAGGCUGGCCAAGAACUUAAAGCACAUGCUCCUCUUACAGUAGUUUGUGAUGGGUGCUUCUCAAACUUGCGACGCUCGCUUUGUGACCCUAAGGUUGAUGUUCCCUCUUGCUUUGUUGGUCUGGUAUUGGAAUUGGAGAAUGAUCGACUUCCAUACCCAAACCAUGGGCAUGUUAUUCUGGCAGAUCCUUCUCCCAUCUUAUUUUAUCCUAUCAGUAGCACGGAAAUUCGCUGCUUGGUCGAUGUACCUGGUCAAAAGCUUCCUUCUCUUGCUAAUGGUGAUAUGGCAAAUUAUUUGAAAACUAUGGUAGCUCCCCAGGUACCACCUGAGCUACGUGAUGCGUUUCUAUCUGCAAUUGAUAAGGGGCAUAUUAAAACUAUGCCAAACAGGAGCAUGCCAGCUGCUCCCUAUCCUACACCUGGAGCUCUGUUGCUAGGCGAUUCUUUCAACAUGCGCCAUCCAUUAACUGGUGGGGGAAUGACUGUUGCGCUUUCAGACAUUGCAGUAUUAAGGAAUCUUCUUAUGCCAUUGCAAGACCUGAAUGACGCAGAUGAGUUGUGUAAAUAUCUGGAGUCAUUUUAUACUUUGCGCAAGCCAGUGGCUUCCACCAUAAAUACUUUGGCUGGAGCUCUGUAUAAGGUGUUCUGUGCUUCUCCUGAUCAAGCGAGGAGGGAGAUGCGAGAUGCGUGUUUUGACUAUUUGAGCCUUGGAGGCACUUGUUCAACUGGACCUGUAGCUCUACUCUCUGGUCUUGAUCCUAAUCCAAUGAGCUUGGUGCUCCAUUUCUUUGCAGUGGCCGUUUAUGGAGUUGGUCGUUUACUUGUACCUUUUCCUUCUCCAAAGAAGUUGUGGAUCGGAGCUAAAUUAAUAUUGUCUGCAUCAGGCAUCAUAUUUCCCAUCAUAAAGGCAGAAGGGAUCCGGCAAAUGUUCUUUCCAACAACAAUACCAGCAUAUCACAGAGCUCCUCCCGUGAAGACGGAGUCAGAUUAAGCAGAAAAUUUGUUGAAGUUUUGUUCCAUGAAUAGCAUUAACAUUUUUGCAGUUCCUUUCUCGAAGCACGAAAUGUAAGUUCCACUCUCCCCUCACCCCAAACCCUACAAAUAGAAUAAGAAUGACGACGAAACCUUAUUGUAGGCAUAUUAUACCAAAAGGAACUUCAAGUGUACGUAUUCAUUGAAAUCUACCUUAUUGUAGGCAUAUUAUACCAAAAGGAACUUCAAGUGUACGUAUUCAUUGAAAUCU